rnacentral:lncRNA from 1 species
AAACAACAUAAUUUAAACCAACGAAAUCAUACAUAAUACUUUUGACUACAUCAAAAUUGAUAGCCAUAUCUACACAUUUGCCUUCUGUAUCUGUUAAAUAGAAAGCACCAUUGGACAACACUCUCGUUACAACGAACGACCCAUGCCAAUUUGGGGCAAACUUAUCUUUUGCUUCAACCUAAUGUGGAGGAUAAGUUUCAAUACGUGCUGGCCCACUUCAAAUUUUUGUGGAUACUCAUUCCAUUAUCUUUUGAUACAACUGGCCAUGAUAUAUUGCCACCAGUCUUUUAUCGUUAAUCAGAAUUAGUCGCUCCAAUCGGGUUUUAACCUAUUC